rnacentral:tmRNA from 1 species
GGGGGUGAUCGGUUUCGACGUCGAGCGUCGAUCCAGGGGAAGCGGGUCGAGGAUGCUGAGUUAUCUCGUAAACGCCCUCAGCAAACCAAUAGGUGCCGACUCCAAGCGCACCGACUUCGCCCUCGCCGCCUGAGCGAGCCCGAAGUCCGUUGGCCUAGGCUUGAUCUCGUCCUAGUCACCAGCGUCAGCUAGAGAUCUUGCUGUGUCCUCGCGCCGGGCGAGGGCACGGGACUCCUACCCGGCUGGGCCUGUCAGGGAACGUGUGCGCGCGAGCCCUGGGGCCGAGAAAAUCCUGAGCGCACUGCACCCGGAGAAGCCCUGGUUCUGCGUCGGCGGACGCGGGUUCGAUUCCCGCCACCUCCACCA